rnacentral:misc_RNA from 1 species
AGUCGUAACAAGGUUUCCGUAGGUGAACCUGCGGAAGGAUCAUUAACACUAAUGAAAAAAGGCGUCUAGCAAUCGUAAGGUUGAUUAGACUAACCUUUUCUCUAACUAUGUGAAUCUGUUUUAUAGAUAUAACAUUGCGGUUAUUAUCGUAAUGUUAUACUAUAUUUUUUUUACGAAUUGUUGUCCAUUUGUAUUGCAUAUAUCAUUAAUUUGAUAUAUAAUUAACAAAGACAACUUUGAGCAACGGAUAUCUUGGUUCUC